rnacentral:rRNA from 1 species
GCUGGCGGCGUGCUUUACACAUGCAAGUCGAGCGAUGAGAUCCCUUCGGGGAAGGAUUAGCGGCGAACGGGUGAGGAACACGUGAGGAAUCUGCCUUCAACACUGGGAUAACUCCGGGAAACCGGGGCUAAUACCGGAUACGAGACCUGCAGGCAUCUGCGGGUCUGGAAAGUUUUUCGGUUGAAGAUGACCUCGCGGCCUAUCAGCUUGUUGGUGAGGUAAUGGCUCACCAAGGCGACGACGGGUAGCCGGCCUGAGAGGGCGACCGGCCACACUGGGACUGAGACACGGCCCAGACUCCUACGGGAGGCAGCAGUGGGGAAUAUUGGGCAAUGGAGGGAACUCUGACCCAGCGACGCCGCGUGCGGGAUGAAGGCCUUCGGGUUGUAAACCGCUUUCAGCAAGGAAGAAGCGAAAGUGACGGUACUUGCAGAAGAAGCACCGGCUAACUAUGUGCCAGCAGCCGCGGUAAUACAUAGGGUGCAAGCGUUGUCCGGAAUUAUUGGGCGUAAAGAGCUCGUAGGUGGUUCGUCACGUCGGAUGUGAAAAUCUGGGGCUUAACCCCAGACCUGCAUUCGAUACGGGCGAGCUAGAGUGUGGUAGGGGAGACUGGAAUUCCUGGUGUAGCGGUGGAAUGCGCAGAUAUCAGGAGGAACACCAAUGGCGAAGGCAGGUCUCUGGGCCAUUACUGACACUGAGGAGCGAAAGCGUGGGGAGCGAACAGGAUUAGAUACCCUGGUAGUCCACGCCGUAAACGGUGGGCACUAGUUGUGGGAACCUUCCACGGUUUCUGCGACGCAGCUAACGCAUUAAGUGCCCCGCCUGGGGAGUACGAUCGCAAGAUUA